GUAUCGAUCGAGGAUCUUGACACUACUGGGACGACUGGCGAGGACGCGCUCUCGCAUUGUCCUCUCUGCGCGCUCCCGGGCCACCUUAACUUCCAGUAGUUUCCUUCGCAAUGCCCUGUUUUCUUUCUGGCUUUGAGUUAUUUCCAAACGAAACACUGCAUAGUCGUCGUCUACGAGUUUACAGAUCUCUGCCACGGCGGCAUUCGCUAGCACCUCCAUGAUGGAGGCUAUUUGAGUGUGAAAAACCAUACAGUUAGCCAUUGUUAGCAGCUAGCGUUAUCUAGAUAACAUCAAUCAACCAAACCCCGUCUCCAACGCGAAUUAAAGAUGACCUAGGGAGAAUGCCCUCUCUCCUGUGUGGACCUUCAGGUGCAUCUUCAGCUGGUGCUGGCGGGAGAACCUCUUCUCACACAUCUGGCAGCUGAAGGGUUUCUCCCCUGAGUGGACUCUCUGGUGCCUCUUCAGGUCACCAGCCUGAGCGAAGCGCAUUUGACACUGGGUACAGCUGAAGGGUUUCACCCCUGUGUGGACCCUCUGGUGCCUCUUCAGGUGGCCAGCCUGGGCAAAGCGCAUGUGACACUGGGUACAGCUGAAGGGUUUCACCCCUGUGUGGAUCCUCUGGUGGAUCUCUACCUUCUGGGUGCAGCUGAAGCCUUUGCUACAGAACAUGCAGAGGAACCGUUUCUCUUUACUAUUGCCUAAUGUGGCUCCUCCUCCCUGAGUCUGGGCUCUAGCCCUGUCGUUUGAGUUCAAUACCUGAUCGAAAAGGACACGGCCUUGUAAAUCGCAAGGCGCAAUCGACGUGGACACUGGGUCGCGAUCCCUGAGCACGUGUAAAGGGGAGUGGGUCACAACAUUUAGAUUUGUCUCUAAACUGUAAUCUAAGAAAUCUCUGCCCUGUGAGAGUCCUGCACAAGCUGCAUUCCAUGUGGGAGGAACGUCGCCCUCCACUUUCACAGUCAAUUCAUCUGCAACCAGAUCUUCCCCUUUCUUAUCUAUGCACCCUUCAGAGUAUACACUACUACUGUACCGGUUCCAGUCCUCUCUAGACGGAUCAGUAUGUGUCUCUAAAUCUAAGGAUAUGUUGCCAGGGUCCAUCUCUAUAGCGUAAGAACAAGAUUGAUCAUUGCCAGUUUCUAACGCAUCACCGGAGUUCCGAUGGGAAUUAACCAGGCUUCGGUUACCGUAAAGUAAAUACUCUGAGCCGGGAGCAGGAGGACAGCCCAGUCUGCCCAGUCUCUCUGUGUCUGACCUGUCGUCAGAUCCUGUGUGUAAAAGCCUUUGUGUCACAGUUAAAGUCUCUGACUCUGACCUAAGGAUGGCAUUCCGCGUUCCACUGACCUCCGUGAUGCUGUGUCUGGAGCUGGGCUGCGCUGGGGUGGUGGCGGGGUCCUCCAUUGCUACAGCCGCACCAGUCUGGAUGUCUCUGCUGUGCUGUGGGUCCACUCCUCUCACCCCAGGACCUGCAGCCUUGGCAUCUGCAGACUGACACAUUAAGAGAGGAGGUUAUUACCGGUACAUGAGUUGAAUAGGAUAACAAUGUCAUAGGGAAGUCGCACAAGCUCAAGCUUGGCAGAUUAAUAAGUAUGUACAUGUAAGCAAGUGAAUAAACGGGACACAUUUGA